rnacentral:rRNA from 1 species
UACGAAGGGGGCUAGCGUUGUGCGGAUUUACUGGGCGUAAAGCGCACGUAGGCGGGUCGGUAAGUCAGGGGUGAAAUCCCGGAGCUCAACUCCGGAACUGCCUUUGAUACUGGCGACCUUGAGGCUGGAAGAGGUUAGUGGAAUUCCCAGUGUAGAGGUGAAAUUCGUAGAUAUUGGGAAGAACACCAGUGGCGAAGGCGGCUAACUGGUCCAGAUCUGACGCUGAGGUGCGAAAGCGUGGGGAGCAAACAGG